GACGAACGCUGGCGGCGUGCUUAACACAUGCAAGUCGAACGGAAAGGCCCUGCUUUUGUGGGGUGCUCGAGUGGCGAACGGGUGAGUAACACGUGAGUAACCUGCCCUUGACUUUGGGAUAACUUCAGGAAACUGGGGCUAAUACCGGAUAGGAGCUCCUGCUGCAUGGUGGGGGUUGGAAAGUUUCGGCGGUUGGGGAUGGACUCGCGGCUUAUCAGCUUGUUGGUGGGGUAGUGGCUUACCAAGGCUUUGACGGGUAGCCGGCCUGAGAGGGUGACCGGCCACAUUGGGACUGAGAUACGGACCAGACGCCUACGGGAGGCAGCAGUGGGGAAUAUUGCAGAGUGGGCGGAAGCCUGAUGCAGCAACGCCGCGUGCGGGAUGACGGCCUUCGGGUUGUAAACCGCUUUCGACUGUGACGAAGCGUUAGUGACGGUAAUGGGUAAAGAAGCACCGGCUAACUACGUG
rnacentral:rRNA from 1 species